rnacentral:rRNA from 1 species
GACGUAGGGCGCGAGCGUUGUCCGGAUUUAUUGGGCGUAAAGAGCUCGUAGGCGGCUCGUUGCGUCGGCUGUGAAAACCCGCAGCUCAACUGUGGGCUUGCAGCUGAUACGGGCGGGCUGGGAUUCGGUAGGGGAGACUGGAAUUCCUGGUGUAGCGGUGAAAUGCGCAGAUAUCAGGAGGAACACCAAUAGCGAAGGCAGCUCGCUGGGACGUUACUGACACUGAGGCGCGAAAGCGUGGGGAGCGAACAGG